AUCACAGAACAGGCAGAGGCAGUUCAGGGGUAUUCUGGUUGCCUUACCCAGCUCUGAAGUCUGUCAGCCUCUUCAGAUGUCACUUGCCAUGUGGUAAGGAAGUGUAGUCAGCAGCUGGUGCAGUGGGAAGAAGAGAAAGGAAGUUCCCCAAGACAAAAACAUCUCGGCAGACCGUGAUCAUGGGCUACAUUCUCCGUACCAGCUUCAUAGCUCCAGUGAGAAAAUAAAUUCCUGCAUCCAGGAGAUGUGGAGUAAGAGAUACAGCUGCCCUUGACCAUAUUUCUUACUUCCGAGAAGAUCGUAGCAGUAAUUCAGUCUUCAGGGAACACCAAGGCCUGUUUGAUUUUCCAAGUAUCAACAAGUGGAGUUGACAAGAGUGACAAGUGGUCAGAGCAAAGCAUUUCAUGAUGACUGUAACGUGCCUGUGUCAGCAGCGACUGCUUACAGUGAGAUUCACAUGACCAUCGUUUAUGACAUAGGAAGAAUAAAAGGAGAGAGAGAGAGAAAGAUAGGUAGUUGAUCAAAAUGAAGAAUUGGAUUUGGAAAGCAACUUCGAAUAGUCUCUGCUUAUAUUUCUGAGAUUAAGGCAAACAGUCUCAAGAAUCUCAUCCAGGAUACCUCAUCACAGGCUGGAGUGCAGUGUCAUGAGCUUGGCUCACUACAGCCUCCAUCUUCUGUGCUUAAGGAUCCUUCCCUCUCAACCUCCAAGGUAGCUGAGACUACAGGCAACAUUCGAAACCCAGGUGCCACUCCUUCAGGAAGGUACCAUCAAGCUCCAAGGACUCAUCCUCUUUCUCCUUCCCCACUACCUAGUCAUUAGAGCGUCAGCAUCCACUUCCUGAAAGGAAGAUGCCUGUUUUUCACAUAUCCCAGAAAGCCUCAUUUUAGGACAGCAUUUAGCAGAGUGUAUUCAGGAUCCCACUAACCUUUUCGGAAGACAUGACUUCCAGAUGAUAUAAGGCUCCAUCAGGAACUGUGCAGGACUGUGCACUCUGUUGAUACUCACAUGGUGGAAUUAUAUUGCCCUUGGCCAACCCUAAAGCCAUCAAGAUAGCAGGUUUGGAAUAAUUCACUGUCGAAGUCUUCUUGAGCUGAGCAGUCAUGUGAGCUUGGAAGAUGAUCCCUCUCCAGCUGAUCCUUCAGCUCAGGCCAUCAUCUACAUCUGGAUUCCUGACCCGGAGAAACUAUGAGUAAUGUGUGCUGCUUUUGAGCCACUAAGCUACAUGGUAAUAGGCUAUGCUUCAAUAAACAAUAAUACACUUGAUGAUAA
rnacentral:lncRNA from 1 species